GAUCCUGGCUCAGGAUGAACGCUAGCUACAGGACUUAACACAUGCAAGUCGAGGGGAAACGAUAUUGGAAGCUUGCUUCCGAUAGGCGUCGACCGGCGCACGGGUGAGUAACGCGUAUCCAACCUGCCCAUCACUUGGGGAUAACCUUGCGAAAGUAAGACUAAUACCCAAUGACGUCUCUAGAAGACAUCUGAAGGAGAUUAAAGAUUUAUCGGUGAUGGAUGGGGAUGCGUCUGAUUAGCUUGUUGGCGGGGUAACGGCCCACCAAGGCGACGAUCAGUAGGGGUUCUGAGAGGAAGGUCCCCCACAUUGGAACUGAGACACGGUCCAAACUCCUACGGGAGGCAGCAGUGAGGAAUAUUGGUCAAUGGACGAGAGUCUGAACCAGCCAAGUAGCGUGCAGGAUGACGGCCCUAUGGGUUGUAAACUGCUUUUAUAAGGGAAUAAAGUGGGAGUCGUGACUCUUUUUGCAUGUACCUUAUGAAUAAGGACCGGCUAAUUCCGUG
rnacentral:rRNA from 1 species